GGCGGCGUGCUUAACACAUGCAAGUCGAACGAUGAACCGCUUUCGGGCGGGGAUUAGUGGCGAACGGGUGAGUAACACGUGGGCAAUCUGCCCUGCACUCUGGGACAAGCCCUGGAAACGGGGUCUAAUACCGGAUACUCACUGCCUUGGGCAUCCAAGGUGGUGGAAAGCUCCGGCGGUGCAGGAUGAGCCCGCGGCCUAUCAGCUAGUUGGUGAGGUAAUGGCUCACCAAGGCGACGACGGGUAGCCGGCCUGAGAGGGCGACCGGCCACACUGGGACUGAGACACGGCCCAGACUCCUACGGGAGGCAGCAGUGGGGAAUAUUGCACAAUGGGCGAAAGCCUGAUGCAGCGACGCCGCGUGAGGGAUGACGGCCUUCGGGUUGUAAACCUCUUUCAGCA
rnacentral:rRNA from 1 species